rnacentral:rRNA from 1 species
UACGUAGGAUCCAAGCGUUGUCCGGAUUUACUGGGCGUAAAGCGCACGUAGGCGGCUUUGUAAGUUAGAGGUGAAAGCCCGGGGCUCAACUCCGGAAUUGCCUUUAAGACUGCAUCGCUAGAAUUGUGGAGAGGUAAGUGGAAUUCCGAGUGUAGAGGUGAAAUUCGUAGAUAUUCGGAAGAACACCAGUGGCGAAGGCGACUUACUGGACACAUAUUGACGCUGAGGUGCGAAAGCGUGGGGAGCAAACAGG